AAUCAACGCUGGCGGCGUGCCUAACACAUGCAAGUCGAACGCGAAAGUCCCGCAAGGGAUCAGUAGAGUGGCAAACGGGUGAGUAACACGUGGGUGACCUGCCUUCGAGCGGGGGAUAACGUCCCGAAAGGGACGCUAAUACCGCAUGACAUCCUGCCUUUUAAUAGGUGGAGAUCAAAGCCGGGGAUCGCAAGACCUGGCACUCGAAGAGGGGCCCGCGUCCGAUUAGCUAGUUGGUGAGGUAACGGCUCACCAAGGCAACGAUCGGUAGCCGGCCUGAGAGGGCGGACGGCCACACUGGGACUGAGACACGGCCCAGACUCCUACGGGAGGCAGCAGUGGGGAAUUGU
rnacentral:rRNA from 1 species